GCGACAGGCGCUGACGAGGUCACCGUUCUGGGAGUACAUGUGGAGGAGUUAGGACGAGAUGUAAGGGUCGCAGGGGAAGUAACCAAGGACGAUGGCAUGGAGGUGGAGGGCGAGGCCGAAGGGGAGGAGGCCGAGCGAGGCACAGGCCUUGAGGAGGAAAGGGAAGGCGUGGCGGUGUGAGGGGAUGCCAUUGCCGCGGGAGAGCGCGAAGGGAUACUGAGACAGGAGUUGCAGGAAGC
rnacentral:lncRNA from 1 species